rnacentral:RNase_P_RNA from 2 species
UGAGGUUGCUUGCUUGCGUUUACGGGUCAACAUACGGUGAGAUGCUGCUUUUGUAGUAUUCUCUACUCUUCUUUAUCGCCCGUGGGAAAGUCCGCGAAUAGCCUGACAAUGCUUUUGGUAGGCAGCACUCGAAAGGGUGUGGUAGGGGUACCAGACAACCAUGGCCUGCUUUUCCUUAUGCCAACGAUGAGAGCGUCUUCGGAUUCUCUUUAGGAUAUGGGAUUGGUGGGUUAUUGAAAAUCUUCCCCCCUGGUGUUUUGUUAUGAAGUGCAAUACGCGAGACCAAGUUUUACUUGGCAACUCAAUGCGGAUUACACAGCAUCCUCA